AGAGAGGAGGACUUGCAGGCGACCAGGAGUGGGGGGAAGGGAGAGAGAAGAGGGGAAGAAUAAAUUGAAGUACUCUUCUGCAUGUGGCUGUAAAUCUUGGUUUGCUGCACUUUCUACGUGGCGAAGUUUUAUUGAUUGGUGUUAAAAUGAAAUUUCUACCCGACCGGUUGGGAGGUUUUCCCCUCUUCCAAUGUCACCUAACUCACAGAAUAACUCAAUUUCUCUCUCCCCCGUCUCCUCCCUAAUCCCUCCAAUUUCCUUUUUCUCUCCUCCCGAAUCCCUGCCCUUCCUCUCCCGUCCCUUUCUUGUUCUUCCAAUUCGAAGGAUCCUGAGAUUCGAAGUUCUUGUUCUCCCAUCCUGACUGGCUCCAAGUGCUACUCUCCAAGAAAAAAACUCCCAUCCUGAUCGAUCCUGAUUCGAAGGCACAAAUGGAAGCAUCUAGCGACUUUAUUGAUGGUAUCAUGUAUAGCAGCUCGAUCCAUGGAUAAAAUCAUGUUCUAAAUACCAUUUAAAUUAAGGUGAGGUUUGGAUAUAAUGUUAAA